UACAGAGGGUGCAAGCGUUAAUCGGAAUUACUGGGCGUAAAGCGCGCGUAGGUGGUUUGUUAAGUUGGAUGUGAAAUCCCCGGGCUCAACCUGGGAACUGCAUCCAAAACUGGCAAGCUAGAGUAUGGUAGAGGGUGGUGGAAUUUCCUGUGUAGCGGUGAAAUGCGUAGAUAUAGGAAGGAACACCAGUGGCGAAGGCGACCACCU
rnacentral:rRNA from 1 species